rnacentral:rRNA from 1 species
GAUGAACGCUGGCGGCGUGCUUAACACAUGCAAGUCGAACGAUGAAGCCCAGCUUGCUGGGUGGAUUAGUGGCGAACGGGUGAGUAACACGUGAGUAACCUGCCCUUAACUCUGGGAUAAGCCUGGGAAACUGGGUCUAAUACCGGAUAGGAGCGUCCACCGCAUGGUGGGUGUUGGAAAGAUAUAUCGGUUUUGGAUGGACUCGCGGCCUAUCAGCUUGUUGGUGAGGUAAUGGCUCACGAAUGCGACGACGGGUAGCCGGCCUGAGAGGGUGACCGGCCACACUGGGACUGAGACACGGCCCAGACUCCUACGGGAGGCAGCAGUGGGGAAUAUUGCACAAUGGGCGCAAGCCUGAUGCAGCGACGCUGCGUGAGGGAUGACGGCCUUCGGGUUGUAAACCUCUUUCAGUAGGGAAGAAGCGAAAGUGACGGUACCUGCAGAAGAAGCACCGGCUAACUACGUG